AUUGAACGCUGGCGGCAGGCCUAACACAUGCAAGUCGAGCGGAAACGAGUUAUCUGAACCUUCGGGGAACGAUAACGGCGUCGAGCGGCGGACGGGUGAGUAAUGCCUAGGAAAUUGCCCUGAUGUGGGGGAUAACCAUUGGAAACGAUGGCUAAUACCGCAUAAUGCCUACGGGCCAAAGAGGGGGACCUUCGGGCCUCUCGCGUCAGGAUAUGCCUAGGUGGGAUUAGCUAGUUGGUGAGGUAAGGGCUCACCAAGGCGACGAUCCCUAGCUGGUCUGAGAGGAUGAUCAGCCACACUGGAACUGAGACACGGUCCAGACUCCUACGGGAGGCAGCAGUGGGGAAUAUUGCACAAUGGGCGCAAGCCUGAUGCAGCCAUGCCGCGUGUGUGAAGAAGGCCUUCGGGUUGUAAAGCACUUUCAGUCGUGAGGAAGGUGGUGUAGUUAAUAGCUGCAUUAUUUGACGUUAGCGACAGAAGAAGCACCGGCUAACUCCGUGCCAGCAGCCGCGGUAAUACGGAGGGUGCGAGCGUUAAUCGGAAUUACUGGGCGUAAAGCGCAUGCAGGUGGUUUGUUAAGUCAGAUGUGAAAGCCCGGGGCUCAACCUCGGAAUAGCAUUUGAAACUGGCAGACUAGAGUACUGUAGAGGGGGGUAGAAUUUCAGGUGUAGCGGUGAAAUGCGUAGAGAUCUGAAGGAAUACCGGUGGCGAAGGCGGCCCCCUGGACAGAUACUGACACUCAGAUGCGAAAGCGUGGGGAGCAAACAGGAUUAGAUACCCUGGUAGUCCACGCCGUAAACGAUGUCUACUUGGAGGUUGUGGCCUUGAGCCGUGGCUUUCGGAGCUAACGCGUUAAGUAGACCGCCUGGGGAGUACGGUCGCAAGAUUAAAACUCAAAUGAAUUGACGGGGGCCCGCACAAGCGGUGGAGCAUGUGGUUUAAUUCGAUGCAACGCGAAGAACCUUACCUACUCUUGACAUCCAGAGAACUUUCCAGAGAUGGAUUGGUGCCUUCGGGAACUCUGAGACAGGUGCUGCAUGGCUGUCGUCAGCUCGUGUUGUGAAAUGUUGGGUUAAGUCCCGCAACGAGCGCAACCCUUAUCCUUGUUUGCCAGCGAGUAAUGUCGGGAACUCCAGGGAGACUGCCGGUGAUAAACCGGAGGAAGGUGGGGACGACGUCAAGUCAUCAUGGCCCUUACGAGUAGGGCUACACACGUGCUACAAUGGCGCAUACAGAGGGCGGCCAACUUGCGAAAGUGAGCGAAUCCCAAAAAGUGCGUCGUAGUCCGGAUUGGAGUCUGCAACUCGACUCCAUGAAGUCGGAAUCGCUAGUAAUCGUGGAUCAGAAUGCCACGGUGAAUACGUUCCCGGGCCUUGUACACACCGCCCGUCACACCAUGGGAGUGGGCUGCAAAAGAAGUAGGUAGUUUAACCUUCGGGGGGACGCUUACCACUUUGUGGUUCAUGACUGGGGUG
rnacentral:rRNA from 1 species